CAGUCGCCACGGUAAUACGAAGGGUGCAAGCGUUACUCGGAAUUACUGGGCGUAAAGCGUGCGUAGGUGGUGGUUUAAGUCCGUUGUGAAAGCCCUGGGCUCAACCUGGGAAUUGCAGUGGAUACUGGGUCACUGGAGUGUGGUAGAGGAUAGUGGAAUUUCCGGUGUAGCAGUGAAAUGCGUAGAGAUCGGAAGGAACAUCUGUGGCGAAGGCGACUAUCUGGGCCAACACUGACACUGAGGCACGAAAGCGUGGGGAGCAAACAGGAUUAGAUACCCGUGUAGUCCCUGUCUCUUAUAA
rnacentral:rRNA from 1 species